GAUCAUUACUGUGAUUUAUACACCACACUGCGUGGGCGACACGAAACACCGAAACCGAACGCACGCCGUCAAGCAAGAAAUCCACAAAACUUUCAACAACGGAUCUCUUGGUUCUCGCAUCGAUGAAGAGCGCAGCGAAAUGCGAUACCUAGUGUGAAUUGCAGCCAUCGUGAAUCAUCGAGUUCUUGAACGCACAUUGCGCCCGCUGGUAUUCCGGCGGGCAUGCCUGUCUGAGCGUCGUUUCCUUCUUGGAGCGGAGCUUCAGACCUGGCGGGCUGUCUUUUUGGACGGCGCGCCCAAAGCGAGGGGCCUUCUGCGCGAACUAGACUGUGCGCGCGGGGCGGCCGGCGAACUUAUUACCAAGCUCGACCUCAGAUCAGG
rnacentral:misc_RNA from 1 species